rnacentral:rRNA from 1 species
ACACUCCUGCGGGAGGCAGCAGUGGGGAAUUUUGGACAAUGGGCGAAAGCCUGAUCCAGCAAUGCCGCGUGAGUGAAGAAGGCCUUCGGGUUGUAAAGCUCUUUUGUCAGGGAAGAAACGGUGAAAGCUAAUAUCUUUUGCUAAUGACGGUACCUGAAGAAUAAGCACCGGCUAACUACGUGCCAGCAGCCGCGGUAAUACGUAGGGUGCAAGCGUUAAUCGGAAUUACUGGGCGUAAAGCGUGCGCAGGCGGUUUUGUAAGUCUGAUGUGAAAUCCCCGGGCUCAACCUGGGAAUUGCAUUGGAGACUGCAAGGCUAGAAUCUGGCAGAGGGGGGUAGAAUUCCACGUGUAGCAGUGAAAUGCGUAGAUAUGUGGAGGAACACCGAUGGCGAAGGCAGCCCCCUGGGUCAAGAUUGACGCUCAUGCACGAAAGCGUGGGGAGCAAACAGGAUUAGAUACCCGUGUAGUCCCAUG